AAUAGAUACCCAGGUAGUCCACGCCGUAAACGAUGAGUGCUAAGUGUUAGAGGGUUUCCGCCCUUUAGUGCUGCAGCUAACGCAUUAAGCACUCCGCCUGGGGAGUACGGCCGCAAGGCUGAAACUCAAAGGAAUUGACGGGGGCCCGCACAAGCGGUGGAGCAUGUGGUUUAAUUCGAAGCAACGCGAAGAACCUUACCAGGUCUUGACAUCCUCUGCCAACCCUAGAGAUAGGGGCGUUCCCCUUCGGGGGACAGAGUGACAGGUGGUGCAUGGUUGUCGUCAGCUCGUGUCGUGAGAUGUUGGGUUAAGUCCCGCAACGAGCGCAACCCUUGAUCUUAGUUGCCAGCAUUCAGUUGGGCACUCUAAGGUGACUGCCGGUGACAAACCGGAGGAAGGUGGGGAUGACGUCAAAUCAUCAUGCCCCUUAUGACCUGGGCUACACACGUGCUACAAUGGAUGGUACAAAGAGCUGCGAACCCGCGAGGGUAAGCGAAUCUCAUAAAGCCAUUCUCAGUUCGGAUUGUAGG
rnacentral:rRNA from 1 species